rnacentral:lncRNA from 1 species
AAAACCAAGUCCAACAGUCUAAUCUAUAUAAAAAAAACCAAGAAACACAUAUAAAUUACAUAAACAAAAGACAACUACUGUAUAUGCUAGUGAGUGUUUUUUAUGCCCCAUUUAGGGGCAUUAUGUUUUCUGGUCUGUGCGUCCGUCUGUUCGUUCGUCCGUCCGUCCGUCUGUCCCGCUUCAGGUUAAAGUUUUUGGUCGAGGUAGUUUUUGAUGAAGUUGAAGUCUAAUCAACUUGAAACUUAGUAUAUAUGUUCUGUAUGAUAUGAUCUUUCUAAUUUUAAUUCCAAAUUAGAGAUUUAACCCCAUUUUCAUGGUCCACUGAACAUAGAAAAUGAUAGUGCGGAUGGGGCAUCCGUGUACUGGGGACACAUUCUUGUUUAAUUUGUGCAAAUAAAUUUCUGUUUU